GGCAUAUGGAAGUUUCCAGGCUAGGGGUCAAAUUGGAGCUGUAACUGUCGGCCUUUACCACAGCCACGGCAACGUGGGGUCUGGGCUGCAUCUACAACCUACACCACAGCUCACAUCAACGCUGGCCCCUUAACCCGCUGCGAGGCCAGGGAUAGAACCUGCAUCCUCACGGAUACUCGUGGGGCUCGUUUCUGCUAAGCCACAGUGGGAACGCCUCUUAUGCGUGACUUUUGGCCAAAGGGACCGGCUCUACCAAAAACAGGGACUGAAGCAUACCCAGGUGACUAUCUGGCUCACCUGAUUCUCUUCCCAGUGGGGCUUUGAAACAUGGGGACAAACUUUAGACACAGAGAACGGAGCCAUUGCCUCUGUCGGGAUGGGAGAAAUUCACAGAUGUCUUGACAGCAGCUACCUCGCGACACUGAGUGGUAGCGGACCCCUGGAAAAACUCUGGGUAAGAAAGACUAUCAAAGGAGCAUCAGGUCCAGAUUGCAAAUUGCUUUAGCAGCUAAAACAGGCAGAAAGAUAGAGCAACUCACGCUAAUCCAGGGGGUUUAUGCUUCGGGCUGGCUGCCUCUGACGCCCACCCUUGACCCAGCCCAUUCAUCAGUAUUUUGAUAAGCAGAUUCCCCUGCAGAGCUUCUUAAUCUGGGUUCCCAGAGGAGUCUUGCAGAGAUUAAUGAGAGCCCUGCCGCUGCCUGCCAGCUCUUGAGGGUGGGGCAGUUAAAUCACAAAAGGGAAGGGACUGGUCGCGGAUGCCCAAACUCUCCCAUCACUGGACCUGACGCCUCUAGGGGUCAACUCAGUAUCUUUUCAACUUAAAUACCUGGAUCUGUUUUUAUUUUUAUUUUUAAUCCACUUUCUCCUUGGUAUCUAGGGAAAUUAAAGCCCUGGCUCACAUCUUCCUUAAGGCCAGCUUUUAGCCAGAGCCAUGACAGCAUCUGGAGCUCAACAAAGAUUAGGGGCAGAGGCAGGCAGGAAUGCCAGGGACAGAGAGGAAAUCCAGUGCUACCAAGGGCACCACCAAUGUGCUGUACCCGCCAUGCAGCCCUCCCACCAAAUACCCUCUGGCUACAGUCCCCUGACAGUGGUGGGAGGGGAAGCUGGGGCUGCAACCCCAAAGCCUGAGCCCUCACAGAAGUGCAGCCCCUAAGACAAAAAAAAAAAAAAAAGGGAGUUCCCAUCGUGGUGCAGUGGUUAACGAAUCCGACUAGGAACCGUGAGGUUGCGGGUUUGGUCCUUGCCCUUGCUCAGUGGGUUAACGAUCCGGCGUUGCCAUGAGCUGUGGUGUAGGUUGCAGACGCGGCUCAGAUCCCGCGCUGCUGUGGCUCUUGCGUAGGCCGGUGGCUACAGCUCCGAUUCCACCCCUAGCCUGGGAACUUCCAUAUGCCACGGGAGUGGCCCAAGAAAUAGCAAAAAAAGACAAAAAAAAAAAAAGAAGGCUGGUCUCUGCUCUUGCAAUGCCAGAUCCUCAACCCACAGUGCCAAGCCAGGGGUGGAACCCGCAUCUCAGCAUUCCCAAGAGGCUGCCGAUCCCACUGCACCACAGCGGGAACUCUGCAGGCUGGGUUCCCUGUGAGACGUGAUCUGGGGAAAUUUUCUGGGCUGUCCUCUGGAGAGAUGGGACUUAUUUUGAAGUAAGAUGUGAUGAGGGAACCCUAGAUUUGAGUUCAGUUUGUGAAUUAUUGGGGCGGGGGGGGGUAAAAUCAGGCUUACCGAGCUUGUAGGACCUUGCAUGUGCUGGAAGAAAAAGUCUUACAAAUUCCAAGUGACAGGUAUGGCAAGAAGGAGGAGGACGAGCCGGGACAGCAGCUUCAACUCUGGCUGCUCCCGUGCUGACAUGUGUCCACUGAACGCAGCCUCAGGACUUGGGGGAAAAAGACCGUCACGCGGAGCUCCGAGCUCACGAGCAGGUCUAAAGGGACCGGCAAGUCAACUAACAAAGGCGUCGGGGGUGGGAACCCCCCUGGGUCUUCCCUCGCCCCUCCUGUGACCACGGCUGGCAUCUCAGGCCCGCUGUCCGUGAACAGACAGGGAAAUAGCUAACUACCCAGCUGAGUCCACGUUCAGCCCCAGAGGAAGGUCGACGGCUGACUGUCUAGGAGUCUGCGGUCUCACUGACACCAGCAGCUCUCAGAGUGUGGAGCACAGCUGCCCUCCGUCUAUGGCUGUGGACUGGGGGGGGGGACAAACAUGUGCUGGGAGGGGGGCCGUCCCAGCCCCUCCGGCCAGGCUCCUCAGAGGCUGGCGCAUCACCCAGCCCCCAGGUGGGGGCAUCAUGGUGGAGACCACGGCUGCCCCUGCAUCAGCUGUCCUGGUUCAGCAGACCUUCCUUCUUUAGCCAGACCUGGAAGCCAAAGAGGUCAGGCCAACCUGCAGCUCGGGGUCCAGCCCAGACGGGCGGCUACCUGGCCAGCCUCCUGGCCUCUGUAUGCGGCGCAGCCUGCUCUGGAUGGUAGGCUCCCUGCCCAGGAUUUGCAGUGAACUUGGCUGCUCCCUGCGGGAUUUACUGGGUCUGGACCUGCCCGCGGUAGAAGGUCAAGUGUCAGUUCAACGAGGGAGCCCCUGUCCCCCUUCGUCUU
rnacentral:lncRNA from 1 species